UCCGUAGGUGAACCUGCGGAAGGAUCAUUACAGAAAGUAAACGCGGAUCGAACCGCGAACUUCUAAACCUUUGACGAUUGACUCAUGUUGCCUCGGCGGGUUCUCCCGCCAGAGGAUACAUCAAAACUCCUUUUUUAACGGUGUUGUCUGAGCUACAAGCAACGAAUCAAAACUUUCAACAACGGAUCUCUUGGUUCUGGCAUCGAUGAAGAACGCAGCGAAAUGCGAUAAGUAGUGUGAAUUGCAGAAUUCAGUGAAUCAUCGAAUCUUUGAACGCACAUUGCGCCCCUUGGUAUCCCGAGGGGCAUGCCUGUUCGAGCGUCAUUUCACCACUCAAGCCUGGCUUGGUGUUGGGCGACGUCCCCUUUAGGGACGCGCCUCGAAACGCUCGGCGGCGUGGCACCGGCUUUAAGCGUAGCAGAAUCUUUCGCUUUAAAAGUCGGGGCCCCGUCUGCCGGAAGACCUACUCGCAAGGUUGACCUCGGAUCAGGCAGGGAUACCCGCUGAACUUAAGCAUAUCAAUAAGCGGAGGA
rnacentral:rRNA from 1 species